UACGAAGGGGGGCUAGCGUUGCUCGGAAUCACUGGGCGUAAAGCGCACGUAGGCGGCUUUCUAAGUCAGGGGUGAAAUCCUGGAGCUCAACUCCAGAACUGCCUUUGAUACUGGAGAGCUCGAGUCCGGAAGAGGUGAGUGGAACUGCGAGUGUAGAGGUGAAAUUCGUAGAUAUUCGCAAGAACACCAGUGGCGAAGGCGGCUCACUGGUCCGGUACUGACGCUGAGGUGCGAAAGCGUGGGGAGCAAACAG
rnacentral:rRNA from 1 species